GGUAAGUUAUGGUUUAUUCUAUUUGAUAGAUAAACUUUCAAUAGUGAUUAAUAUGUAUUGAAUGAUAUUGUGUAGUACUCUAUGUACUUGAUUGUGCGAUUGUGUAACUUGGUUUUGUGGUUUGUGGGGCCUGAAAUCGUGAGACCAUGAAAUUUAUAAUCUUGAACCCUCUCUAUCGAACUGAUGCCUGGAAUAAAGAAGACUUGAUGAAAUAUUGUUAAUGAAUUGAUAAGUGGUGAUAAUAAAUGAU
rnacentral:misc_RNA from 1 species